CCUGGACCGUGCUGCUCAGGGGAGGCAGGAGACCUGAUCUCACCUAUGUCAGUGCGAACCUCUAGAAAUCUGUUUCCAAGCCAGGGUCCCCAGGGUAGAAGGCAGAGACUCUCUCUCCGGUGGGGAAGACAGCGAAGUGGUCCUCCCUCAGCCCUGUGCACACGUGGGACCACUGUCCUACUGGCUGUCUCCUCAGGACUUCUGUUCAGCACACUCUGAAGCGUGGCCCAGCCUCCUUCACCCCCUCUGCAGAGGAAGGAUGGCUGGGUGCUCUUAGAAGAACCAACCACAUCUGCCUUGGAGCAACAGUGAAGAGGGGUUGCAUCUCUGCUUGCUACCUCGACAUCUUGGAUCAAGUCCAGAGAAGGGAGCGUUUGAAGAAGCUGCUCUGUCACGUGGAUGGUGGGCCGGCGGGGCAAGCGGUGAAGGCACACAAAGGUGGAAGUUCCUUGGCUUGUCCUGUUGAAGCAGUCUUGGGGUGUCACAAUGGCCCUGCAGGAAUGAGGCUUCCCACGAGCACUCAGCUGAGGAGCCGUGGUGACACACGGGGUCUAAGCAGGGCAUUGCUACUACCCUGCUGGGGCCGGUGGGGACACUGAUGGUCUCUGGGCUCUGACAGUGCAGGUGGAGCAAUACACGAUCAGUGUUGUAUGCAAACCAGUGACUGUAAUGGGCCACUCCAAGGAGAGAGAGGAGGGGUGGGGGAGAGAGAUAGAAGAUUAUAGAAGCAUAUGGUCAUUAGCAGCCACCAUGAUGUCCGGGCAGUGUGGACCUUCUCUUGGUUAAAGCACUCCCUUCUCUUGGGUCCUCUACAACAUAAAAAUCCUGCCAUUUUCUUCAGGUCUUUCUGGUAACCUUUAUAGGGGAA
rnacentral:lncRNA from 1 species